UGCAAGUCGAGCGGUAGCACAGAGAGCUUGCUCUCGGGUGACGAGCGGCGGACGGGUGAGUAAUGUCUGGGAAACUGCCUGAUGGAGGGGGAUAACUACUGGAAACGGUAGCUAAUACCGCAUAAUGUCGCAAGACCAAAGUGGGGGACCUUCGGGCCUCAUGCCAUCAGAUGUGCCCAGAUGGGAUUAGCUAGUAGGUGGGGUAACGGCUCACCUAGGCGACGAUCCCUAGCUGGUCUGAGAGGAUGACCAGCCACACUGGAACUGAGACACGGUCCAGACUCCUACGGGAGGCAGCAGUGGGGAAUAUUGCACAAUGGGCGCAAGCCUGAUGCAGCCAUGCCGCGUGUGUGAAGAAGGCCUUCGGGUUGUAAAGCACUUUCAGCGGGGAGGAAGGCGAUAAGGUUAAUAACCUUGUCGAUUGACGUUACCCGCAGAAGAAGCACCGGCUAACUCCGUGCCAGCAGCCGCGGUAAUACGGAGGGUGCAAGCGUUAAUCGGAAUUACUGGGCGUAAAGCGCACGCAGGCGGUCUGUCAAGUCGGAUGUGAAAUCCCCGGGCUCAACCUGGGAACUGCAUUCGAAACUGGCAGGCUAGAGUCUUGUAGAGGGGGGUAGAAUUCCAGGUGUAGCGGUGAAAUGCGUAGAGAUCUGGAGGAAUACCGGUGGCGAAGGCGGCCCCCUGGACAAAGACUGACGCUCAGGUGCGAAAGCGUGGGGAGCAAACAGGAUUAGAUACCCUGGUAGUCCACGCCGUAAACGAUGUCGAUUUGGAGGUUGUGCCCUUGAGGCGUGGCUUCCGGAGCUAACGCGUUAAAUCGACCGCCUGGGGAGUACGGCCGCAAGGUUAAAACUCAAAUGAAUUGACGGGGGCCCGCACAAGCGGUGGAGCAUGUGGUUUAAUUCGAUGCAACGCGAAGAACCUUACCUGGUCUUGACAUCCACAGAACUUUCCAGAGAUGGAUUGGUGCCUUCGGGAACUGUGAGACAGGUGCUGCAUGGCUGUCGUCAGCUCGUGUUGUGAAAUGUUGGGUUAAGUCCCGCAACGAGCGCAACCCUUAUCCUUUGUUGCCAGCGGUUCGGCCGGGAACUCAAAGGAGACUGCCAGUGAUAAACUGGAGGAAGGUGGGGAUGACGUCAAGUCAUCAUGGCCCUUACGACCAGGGCUACACACGUGCUACAAUGGCAUAUACAAAGAGAAGCGACCUCGCGAGAGCAAGCGGACCUCAUAAAGUAUGUCGUAGUCCGGAUUGGAGUCUGCAACUCGACUCCAUGAAGUCGGAAUCGCUAGUAAUCGUAGAUCAGAAUGCUACGGUGAAUACGUUCCCGGGCCUUGUACACACCGCCCGUCACACCAUGGGAGUGGGUUGCAAAAGAAGUAGGUAGCUUAACCUUCGGGAGGGCGC
rnacentral:rRNA from 1 species